GACGAACGCUGGCGGCGUGCCUAAUACAUGCAAGUCGAACGCAGUGGGGACGGGUGAGUAACACGUGGGUAACCUCCCAUCAGAGGGGAUAACCAUUGGCAACAGGUGCUAAACCGAUAUUGAUUGAUGUAGCCUCGGUGCAUUAGCUAGUUGGUGAGGUAACGGCUCACCAAGUCCACGAUGCAUAGCCGGCCUGAGAGGUGGAUCGGCAACACUGGGACUGAGACACGGCCCAGACUCCUACGGGAGGCAGCAGUAGUGAAUCUUCGGCAAUGGAGGAAAGUCUGACCGAGCAACGCCGCGUGAGUGAAGAAGGUUUUCGGAUCGUAAAACUCUGGUGGUAGAGAAGCGUUAUCUAACGAGAAAGCCACGGCUAACUACGUGCCAGCAGCCGCGGUAAUAC
rnacentral:rRNA from 1 species